GGAAGGAUGGUCUUGUGGUUAGGAUGCUGGAGCAGGACUCCAGAGAUCUGGGUUUAAUUCCCAGAUCUGCUA
rnacentral:tRNA from 1 species